GGAAAAGUGGCUGAGUCUGGUUUAUAGCGUAAUACUUGAAAUAUUAAGGGUUUUUCCCGCGCGGGUUCGAAUCCUGCCUUUUCCU